AUUGAACGCUGGCGGCAGGCCUAACACAUGCAAGUCGAGCGAGCGGCGGACGGGUGAGUAAUGUAGGGGGAUCUGCCCGAUGGAGGGGGAUAACUACUGGAAACGGUGGCUAAUACCGCAUACGAUCGGAUGAACCAAUAUGGGAUUAGCUAGUAGGUGGGGUAAAGGCUGCCCUAGGCGACGACCCCUAGCUGGUCUGAGAGGAUGAUCAGCCAAACGGGGAUUGGGACAGGGCCCAGACUCCUACGGGAGGCAGCAGGGGGGAAUAUUGCACAAUGGGCGCAAGCCUGAUGCAGCCAUGCCGCGUGUAUGAAGAAGGCCUUAGGGUUGUAAAGUAUGUUCAGCGGGGAGGCGUUACCCGCAGAAGAAGCACCGGCUAACUCCGUGCCAGCAGCCGCGGUAAUAC
rnacentral:rRNA from 1 species